UACGGAGGAUGCAAGCGUUAUCCGGAUUUAUUGGGUUUAAAGGGUGCGCAGGUUGUUUGAUAAGUCAGUGGUGAAAGUCUGUCGCUUAACGGUAGGAUUGCCAUUGAUACUGUUAGACUUGAAUAUGGAUGAGGUAGGCGGAAUGUGUAGUGUAGCGGUGAAAUGCAUAGAUAUUACACAGAACACCGAUUGCGAAGGCAGCUUACUAAUCCAUCAUUGACGCUGAGGCACGAAAGCGUGGGGAGCAAACA
rnacentral:rRNA from 1 species